AAAAUCAUCCGAUAAGAGAUCAUGCCAAGAUGGGUAACUAUAGCCUAUAGAAUCGACAAUAUUAUUAUGAAUGUUGAACCUUCUGCUCUCUUGAUGGUACGAUCAACCGCAGUACCGGUCUGCUAUGUUUUAGGUUACUAAUCUAAAACUUAACUCAUCUUAAAAUAAUAAAGAAGCCAACCAAAAUCUAACUUAUCUUAAUAGUUGAUUGUAGCAGACGACUCUUCCUCGCGGACACAACAUUUGACACAUAGUUUGGCGUAGAAGCAAAGCACCAUAAUAGCCGAGAUGGAGUUCAGAAGAACAAUCACGAAGGUUAAAAGGUAACUAAUAUGCAUAUUGCUCUUUGACUUCACCACACCAAUAUUUCUUCUUUUUUUAACUUUGUUUUGUGUCUUUUUCUUAUUCUUCUCCGGUAGAGAUUAUGCUUAUAUACACGUAUUCUCAUCACAAAAUUAACAUUUUUGGAAAAUAAA